UGGGGAAUAUUGCACAAUGGAGGGAACUCUGAUGCAGCAACGCCGCGUGCGGGAUGACGGCCUUCGGGUUGUAAACCGCUUUCAGCCAUGACGAAGCUUUUGUGACGGUAGUGGUAGAAGAAGCACCCGCUAACUACGUGCCAGCAGCCGCGGUGAUACGUAGGGUACGAGCGUUGUCCGGAAUUAUUGGGCGUAAAGAGCUUGUAGGCGGUUUGUCGCGUCGAUAGUGUAAACACGCAGCUUAACUGUGUGCCUGCUGUCGAUACGGGCUGACUAGAGGGUGGUAGGGGAGAAUGGAAUUCCCGGUGGAGCGGUGGAAUGCGCAGAUAUCGGGAGGAACACCAGUGGCGAAGGCGGUUCUCUGGACCUUUCCUGACGCUGAGAAGCGAAAGCGUGGGUAGCAAACAGG
rnacentral:rRNA from 1 species